GAUGAACGCUGGCGGCGUGCUUAACACAUGCAAGUCGAACGGUGAAGGCGGAGCUUGCUCUGCUGGAUCAGUGGCGAACGGGUGAGUAACACGUGAGCAAUCUGCCCCUGACUCUGGGAUAAGCGCUGGAAACGGCGUCUAAUACUGGAUACGAGCUGCGAAGGCAUCUUCAGCAGCUGGAAAGAACUUCGGUCAGGGAUGAGCUCGCGGCCUAUCAGCUUGUUGGUGAGGUAACGGCUCACCAAGGCGUCGACGGGUAGCCGGCCUGAGAGGGUGACCGGCCACAGGGGGAAUGAGAAAGGGCCCAGACACAGAGGGGGGGAAGAAGGGGGGAAUAUGGCAAAAGGGGCGAAAGCCGGAUGAAGCAACGCGGAGGGAGGGAGGACGGCUUGGGGGUGGUAAACCUGUUGGGGAGGGAAAGAAGGGAAAGGGAGGGUCCCGGAAAAAAAAGCGCCGGAAAACAACGUG
rnacentral:rRNA from 1 species